GAAACGGGGGCCUUGGCCGGCAGCACAGAGAUCGCGAUGCUCUGGCUGGGGGGCUUGAUGAGCGACAGCGGCUUGGCGGUCCCCACGGGACAGCUUCGGACGGCCAGCUUCUGCGGGGAGACAGGCAGGAAGGCAACAAAAACAGUCGAGCUUCCAGAAACACAUUUUCAUCUUCCAGCAAAUAAAUAACCAUCCAGAACCUGUUGGGUCCCAGUUCCUCUCCACCAGCAGCUUCCUGGGAAGCUUUUGUUUCAGGGAAUCAAUGGAAUCCGCAGGCGGCCGAACAGCCGCCUGCUUCAGGACCCGCUGGCCCGCCGCUGGCCAUGCAGAGCCGGGGCCCCUCCUAUUGUCUGAAAGGUCACUCAUUUAAAGCCUCUGCAGGCUGGAGACCGACAGGCCCCUCCUGGAGGGACGGGGUCAGCAGUGUAUGAACCAGGAACACCAAAAAAGAGAUGGAAGACCGUCCCCAUCAUUUCCCACAGUAUUACAGAUAAACACACACGGACCAGCCAAAGGCCGUCGACGGACAGGUUCACUAUCAGCAUGACAACAAGCGAGUGUGGAACAGUAAAAGUAAACUGCCAAUCAAAAGAAAAGAAAAUGGCCAAACUAAUGAACUGACUGGACAUUCGGUUUGAUUUUGUAAAACAGCAUUUAAGAAUAAAACACUUUGGACUCGU